UAGCUGUUAAAGAGUGAUGAACAUAUAUGCAUAGAAAGAAGCUGGGUUUUGUGCUUUAUUUAUUAACGGAUGUCUAGUGAGUUAAAAAAGCUAUAUUUAACCAAUAAUUUAAAAACAAUUUAUUCAUAAUAAAAAAAUAUUGGGAUGCAGGCCUCAACCUUCAUUCUCAUGUUGGUGGAAGAGGUAUAUGUGGCCAAAAUUUUGUCAUCAUUGUGCUCCGAACAUUAAAGUAUUUUAUUGGAAAAAAAAUAUAUAACAUAUACACACAAAUUAUAACAAUAAGUAACAUAUUUUACUAAGUAAUAUUGUUUUUAUCUAAAUAUAUAUCUCUAUUUCUAUGAAAUGUGGUGUUAAGAGUAUGAAUUAAACCACCUGAAUUGUUUACAUAACUAAUUUGAUAAAUUGAAUAAACAUAUGCAUACAUAGAUGGGAAUAGUUCCUGUGGUAUGUUAAAUAACAAACAGUGUAAUUCAUUUAAAACAAAAGUUUCAUCAUUUAUUUCUAUUCUAAUGAAGUCAUUUAUAUAUUUUCGGAAUAGUCUUAAUUUUUUACAAUGUAGCAGUAAAUGAUUUAGUGUUUCAUUUUCCGAGUUACAGAAAAAGCAUAUCGGAAAAACGUUACUAUAAUUUCGUCUUUUUUGAUUAUCUUUAGUAGGAAGAGCAUUAUGCACAACUCUAUAAAUAAAAUCUUGCUGGUAAUUGCUUUUGAUAUUCCUAAUAUUACUCCAUAUAUCUGUAAA
rnacentral:lncRNA from 1 species